GCGUGAGUGAUGAAGGCCUUAGGGUUGUAAAGCUCUUUUACCCGGGAAGAUAAUGACGGUACCGGGAGAAUAAGCCCCGGCUAACUCCGUGCCAGCAGCCGCGGUAAUACGGAGGGGGCUAGCGUUGUUCGGAAUUACUGGGCGUAAAGCGCGCGUAGGCGGCUAUGUAAGUCAGAGGUGAAAGCCCGGGGCUCAACUCCGGAACUGCCUUUGAGACUGUGUGGCUUGAAUCCGGGAGAGGUGAGUGGAAUUCCGAGUGUAGAGGUGAAAUUCGU
rnacentral:rRNA from 1 species